AGGUACGAAGCCACAGAAAAACAUCGUAGUGAAAGGCAAUUCCAUUUUGUCUCAAGGAUGCCAGCACUAAUUGAAUCUGAAAGCAACAACUAUAUUUCCCCUCCAUAAGUGGCUACUAGGUGGAACAAUUAUGAAAUAUGACCUCUUCCUAGAGGAUUGGAGGGGAAUGUCUCCAGCUGUCAUCUCUGCAUUGAAAAAUGGUUCAGUGACUUUAGCCAGUAGUUUUAUAAUCGUUAUUCCACGGCAGCUUGGCACAACCUGAGAAAUGCUAGAGUUUGCAACUUCAAGUGCCCCAUUGCAAUUUAUCUGGAAUCUGUUUUGCCUCAUCUACUGAAGCCAAGCAAUGGAGAUUCAAGACAGAGGAAUCUGGUUGAGUGUUGUGGGAACAGGAGUUUAGAACCAGCCUUUGGUAAGACCCAGAAUGACUGUUUGUUGUCCUUCCACAAGCAGGCGAAGACCUUUCCC